rnacentral:tRNA from 2 species
CGGAAUGUAGCUAAAGCAGUAAAGCAUCUCUCUUACACUGAGAAGUCCCCCGUGCAAAUCGGGUCGUUCCGA